CGCCUUCUCGGGUCGAACCCCACCCCCGACCACCUCCCACCCUGCAGCGGUGCCCCCAUCCCCGACCACCUUCCACCCCGCGGCGCCUACCUCUCCCCUUCCCAGUGGAUCCCGGCCCAGCGGCGGGGAACUGCUCUGGCCAACUUUCUCGCCCCCCUGCGCCGCUGCCCACCCCGCGUUGUGCGCCGCCGCCCGCACCGACCACCAACCUGCUCUGCAUCUGCCUCAGUCUGGCGAUAUACCUCAGAUCCAGCUCUCCCUCACGCUGCUGGUGAGAUUCACCUCGCCGGAUCCAGUGGCUGAGGCCACAGAUCGUUCGAUCCCGAGCGGAUCUGUCGAUGUGAGCCGCGAGAAAACAACACCGUUUGGUGGCGGAGAGCCAGGCCCGGCGCAGUGCCCUCCUCUCGAUGCCGCCUCUCACCCCCCGUUCAAUGCGUCGGUGUUGGACCCCGGUGGCCUCGAGUGAACUGCAGCGGAGUCGCCCGGGAUUGGCUACCCAUCAGCAAGCGAAUCUGGAGGCCCCAAGUUGCCGGCGGCAAAGCUCUGGAUCGAGUCGAGCCGCUAGCCGUCUCAUCCGCCACUGGAGCAGCGCGACCUUGCCGGUGCAGUGCACCGCGACUCCCACGUUGAGUGCAGUGGGUGUGUACCCCUCCUCCCCUUGCAGUCCAGCCGCCCUUGGCUUGCAGUGCGCUGGCACGCGCGUUGCCGUGCAGUUCAUUGACGCAUUUCCCUGACUUUUUUGUUUCCUGCUAUUCCACUGAAGUGUGCCUCGCCUUCGUCCAGUUCCCUUUGCCUUUAGGUGUUUUUCAAAGGGAUACCAAAAAAGAGGUUCAAACGGCGUGCAAUAUACGGUGGAGCGCUGCUACACUCCGCUGUCGAGCGACAGCCACAAAACGAUGCCAGCAUGCAGUUCGGUACCAAACGCGAUGCACCCCGGGCAUGAGAGUUCCUUCGGGCAUCAACUUGAAGUGCACAUGGUGUGAGAGUGGUGUGCAGUUUGAUAGAUGGUGUGGUGCGGUGUGCACGGGCACGUUCCCGUGCAGUGCAGCAUGCGGGUUCUUACAGUGCGGAAACAUCGGUGUUGUAUGUAUGUCGUUGGCUCAUCAUGCAAUUUACUCGAUGCUCUUGUGGAGUGCACAACCCAUCUGCUUGCAGUUUCGCUGGCCGCGCGUGCAGUCUGCCACCCGUCCGGCACAUGCGUGCAGAACAUUUUUUAUGAAAAAGUUGGGGGACGUUGUUCACUCCAUCCAUGUUUUGCAUUUUUGGAGAUCUUUUUUUGAAAAGUGCACUCAGUUUGUAUAAAAAAGAAUGAUGUUUCAUUACCCCUA